CCUACGGGAGGCAGCAGUGAGGAAUAUUGGUCAAUGGCCGAGAGGCUGAACCAGCCAAGUCGCGUGAGGGAAGACUGUCCUACGGAUUGUAAACCUCUUUUGUCAGGGAGCAAAGUCACCCACGUGUGGGUGUUGGAGAGUACCUGAAGAAAAAGCAUCGGCUAACUCCGUGCCAGCAGCCGCGGUAAUACGGAGGAUGCGAGCGUUAUCCGGAUUUAUUGGGUUUAAAGGGUGCGUAGGUGGGUUAUCAAGUCAGCUGUAAAAUCGUGGAGCUCAACUGCGGCACUGCCUUUGAUACUGUCGGGCUAGAGUUUAGUUGCGGUAGGCGGAAUGCAUGGUGUAGCGGUGAAAUGCAUAGAGAUCAUACAGAACACCAGUGGCGAAGGCGGGUUGCUAGACUGUAACUGACACUGAGGCACGAAAGCGUGGGGAGCAAACAGGAUUAGAUACCCUUGUAGUC
rnacentral:rRNA from 1 species